rnacentral:rRNA from 1 species
CCUACGGGUGGCAGCAGUGAGGAAUAUUGGUCAAUGGGCGUAAGCCUGAACCAGCCAAGUCGCGUGAGGGAUGAAGGUUCUAUGGAUUGUAAACCUCUUUUAUAAGGGAAUAAAGUGUGGGACGUGUCCUAUUUUGUAUGUACCUUAUGAAUACGGAUCGGCUAACUCCGUGCCAGCAGCCGCGGUAAUACGGAGGAUCCGAGCGUUAUCCGGAUUUAUUGGGUUUAAAGGGCGCGUAGGCGGCUUUUUAAGUCAGGGGUGAAAGUCUGUGGCGCAACCAUAGAAUUGCAGUUGAAACUGGGGGGCUUGAGUAUGUUAGAGGCAGGCGGAAUGCGUGGUGUAGCGGUGAAAUGCUUAGAGAUCACGCAGAACCCCGAUUGCGAAGGCAGCCUGCCAAGCCGUGACUGACGCUGAUGCACGAAAGCGUGGGGAUCAAACAGGAUUAGAUACCCCAGUAGUC